CUUGUUCCAAGGCUGAUAAGCUCCAGGAGAACUCGCAGCAUUCCAGGGCGGGCGUUCCAGUUUGGGCAGCACAUAUGGAUUUGCGACACUGUCAAGCCCAUUAACUUUCACUGUGCGCGACUGGAGCUUGCCAAGAGCGCAGGAAUUCAGACAAUCGUCUGUGUUCCCACCCGAAACGGAGUUGUGGAGCUGGGAUCCACCGAAAUCGUUAACGAGUGCUCGCGGACACUCCAAGACAUAAGGAGAUACUUUGAGGAGGAGCAGCAGCAGCAGCAGCAAUCACA